rnacentral:rRNA from 1 species
CAGCGCCGCGGGAAUACAGAGGGUGCAAGCGUUAAUCGGAAUUACUGGGCGUAAAGCGCGCGUAGGUGGUUUGUUAAGUUGGAUGUGAAAUCCCCGGGCUCAACCUGGGAACUGCAUCCAAAACUGGCAAGCUAGAGUAUGGUAGAGGGUGGUGGAAUUUCCUGUGUAGCGGUGAAAUGCGUAGAUAUAGGAAGGAACACCAGUGGCGAAGGCGACCACCUGGACUGAUACUGACACUGAGGUGCGAAAGCGUGGGGAGCAAACAGGAUUAGAUACCCGAGUAGUCCCUGUCUCUUAUACA